CCUACGGGUGGCAGCAGUGGGGAAUAUUGCGCAAUGGGCGAAAGCCUGACGCAGCGACGCCGCGUGAGGGAUGAAGGUCUUCGGAUCGUAAACCUCUGUCAGCAGGGAAGAACGGUCACUGUGCUAAUCAGCAGUGAAUUGACGGUACCUGCAAAGGAAGCACCGGCUAACUCCGUGCCAGCAGCCGCGGUAAUACGGAGGGUGCGAGCGUUAAUCGGAAUUACUGGGCGUAAAGCGCACGUAGGCGGUAUGUCAAGUCAAGGGUGAAAUCCCCGCGCUCAACGUGGGAACUGCCUUUGAAACUGGCAAACUGGAGUGUGUGAGAGGAUAGUGGAAUUCCAGGUGUAGGAGUGAAAUGCGUAGAUAUCUGGAGGAAUAUCAGUGGCGAAGGCGACUAUCUGGCACAUAACUGACGCUGAGGAGCGAAAGCGUGGGUAGCAAACAGGAUUAGAUACCCUAGUAGUC
rnacentral:rRNA from 1 species